AUGGAUCCUUCCAGGCGGACACUUCAGAGGAUUUCAAAUGAUGAAUCUAUGUGCUCUGCCUCAGCUAGUUCAUGUUUGGUUUCUAAAAGAGGUUACAUCCCAAGAAGAUUAGUGAUUGGAAAUGAUGAAUAUGUCACAAUUGGCAAUGGAAACCACCUUAUUAGAGACCCAAGGAAACAAAUUCGAAAACUGGCAUAUGAAAAAGUUAGAUGGAGCUUGCACACUGCCAGACAGCGGUUGGCUCGUAAGCAGAAGUAA